rnacentral:lncRNA from 10 species
CUUGCAGGUCCUUGGCGCGGCCCGGCGGCCCCUGGAUCAAGGCGAUCCGAACUGAACAAAGCGGGCUAGACGCCACCUUUCCGCCCCCACGCCUUGGCUAAGUGGGGGACCGCGAGGGGAAGGCGCCUCCAGCCCUGGCCCCUGACCGCUGGCCGGCGUGAAAGACAUCGCCUUCUUACAAUGCAGAACAGACGAUGCACUGUCUCAGGUCACGCUUAGCCUCCUACGGGGGCACGACAGAAGAAGAGGAACAUUUAGAGAGGCACAGCUCCUACAUCCUUGGAUGGGGAGAGUGGGGAGCAAACAGGCCAGUUCACACUUCUUUCCUCUGUGAAGCCUUCCUUCUCCCAGCAUUCCCUCCCCUCACCCUACUGUGUUGUGGCCACCACUCUGCCUGGGACUACAGCCAUUUGUCCUUCUGCCUCUCCUCUGCCUGAGAGCAAGGAGCCUACUGUGAUCAGAGCUGGGGGAGCCAGUGUGAGCAGCAGGAACCCACAAUUAAGGCUCUGGGCCAUGCUUUCCUCUUCCUGAUGACCCUGGUGUUUCCUCACAGAGCCCUUUGUGGCAUGG